rnacentral:rRNA from 1 species
GCGGAGGGAUCAUUACUGAGUGAGGGCCUUUGGGCUCAACCUCCAACCCUUUGUGAACCCAACUUGUUGCUUCGGGGGCGACCCUGCCGUUUCGACGGCGAGCGCCCCCGGAGGCCGAGAAACACUGCAUCUUUGCGUCGGAGUUUAAGUAAAUUAAACAAAACUUUCAACAACGGAUCUCUUGGUUCUGGCAUCGAUGAAGAACGCAGCGAAAUGCGAUAAGUAAUGUGAAUUGCAGAAUUCAGUGAAUCAUCGAAUCUUUGAACGCACAUUGCGCCCUUUGGUAUUCCGAAGGGCAUGCCUGUUCGAGCGUCAUUUCACCACUCAAGCCUGGCUUGGUAUUGGGCGCCGCGGUCGAUCCGCGUGCCUUAAAGUCUCCGGCCGAGCCGUCCGUCUCCAAGCGUUGUGAUUUCAUUAGUCGCUUCGGAGUGCGGGUGGCCGCGGCCGUUAAAUUUUUCACAAGGUUGACCUCGGAUCAGGUAGGGAUACCCGCUG